rnacentral:lncRNA from 1 species
GAUCUGUCCAAAUUCAAAGCCCGUCAAAGGCAUAUGAAAUCAUGCGAAGGAUUUGAGCCCAUCGAAAUGAUGUUCAGGGGGCUAAACCCAAGUAGCUUUGGCUCAUGAUCCAAGAGACCCGAAACUCGUUAAUCAUGCUAUCCUUACCUUCUAACUAACCUCUUCGAGUUUGCUUACCCUAACACUGAUUGAUUAGGCGUAACUGUUGAAGCAGGUUAUGCAGAGGUUGUUCACACAGGCAAUGUGACUUCACUUUGUAGUUAGUUUGCUCAUUAAACAGGAGUGUAUAGUACUCAACUGCGAAAAACUAAAAAAAUGGUGCUUAUCAUCAAAUUCGUGCCGCAUGGCGAGAUUACUCUACUUCUACUCUAUAAAUAGAAAGAUAUCCAUAACAAUGAUGAUAAAGUUUGCCAUACCUUUCUAAUUGCCCAAUUUGACACUAACACCAUUGGCUACACCACGAGCAUCUUGUGCCUCAAUAUUCACAGUCUUGACGCUAGAGAUAGUUGGGGCUAUGAACUCUAGUCUCUUUGUUGGGACCUCAAUCAAAAUUGUGACUUGCUCCUUUGUCCAAAUUCUGAGCCCGUCAUCAAAGCAAGCCCAAGUCCAUGCAAGAAGGCCCUCCAGAUCUGUCCAAAUACAAAGCCCAUCAGCAUAUGAAAUCAUGCAAAAGAUCCAAGCCCAACCAAAUGAUGUUCAAGGGAAACCCAAGUAGCUCUGGCUCAUAAUCCAACAGACCCGAAACUCAUUAAUCAUGCUAUCCUUACCUUCUAACUAGCCUCUUCGAUUUCUUUUAUCCUAACAGUGAUUAAUUAGGUGUAACUGUUGAAGCUGGUUAUCCAGAGGUUGUUCACACAGGCAGUGUGACUGGACUUUGUAGUUAGUAUGCUCUAAACAGGCAUGUAUAGCACUCAACUGCAAAAAACUAAUAAAAAUGGUGCCUAUCAUCAAAUUCAUGCCAUAUGGCGGGAUUACUCUACUUCUACUCUAUAAAUAGAAAGAUAUCCUUAAUAAAGAUAUUUAUAACAAUGAUGGGAAAGUUUGCCAUAGCUUUCUAAUUACCCAAUUUGACACUAACACCAUUGGCUACACCACAAGCAUUUUGUGCCUCGAUAUUCACAAUUUGAUGCUAGAGUUAGUUGGGGCAAUGAACUCUAGUCUCCCUGUUGUGACCUCGAUCAAAAUUAUGAGUUGCUCCUCUGUCUAAAUUCAAAGCCGGUCAUCAAAGCAAGCGCAAGUCCAUGCAAGAAGGCCCUCCAAAUCAGUAGAAAUUCAAAGCCCGUCAAAGGCAUAUGAAAUCAUGCAAAGGAUCCGAGCCAAUCCAAAUGAUGUUCAGGGGGCUAAACACAAGUAGCUCUGGCUUAUGAUCCAAGAUACCCAAAGCUCGUCAAUCAUGCUAUCCUAACCUUCUAACUAACCUCUUCGAUUUCGCUUAUCCUAACAGUGAUUGAUUAAGCGUAAUUAUUGAAGCUGGUUAUGCAGACGUUGUUCACACAGGCAAUCUGGCUUCACUUUGUAGUUAAUUUGCUCAUUAAACAGGCAUGUAUAGUACUCGACUGUGAAAAAAUCAUAAACAUGGUGUCUAUCAUCAAAUUCGUGCCCCAUGAUGGGAUUACUCUACUUCUACUCUAUAAAUAGAAAGAUAUCCAUAACAAUGAUGGUAGAGUUUGCCAAACUUUUCUAAUUGCCCAAUUUGACACUAACACCAUUGGCUACACCACGAGCAUCUUGUGCCUUGAUAUUCACAGUCUUGAUGCUAGAGUUAGUCGGGGCAAUGAAUUUUAGUCUUUUUGUUGUGACCUCAAUCAAAAUUGUGACUUGCUCCUUUGUCCAAAUACAAAGCCCGUCAUCAAUGCAAGUCCAAGUCCAUGAAAGAAGGCCCUCCAUAUCUGUCCAAAUUCAAAGUCGGUGAAAGGCAUUUGAAAUCAUGCAAAGGAUCCGAGCCCAUCCAAAUGUUGUUCAGGGGGCUAAACCCAAGUAGCUCUAGCUCAUGAUCCAAGAGACCCGAAACUAGUUAAUCAUGUUAUCCUUACCUUCUAACAAACCUCUUCAAUUUCGCUUAUCCUAACAGUGAUUGAUUAGGCGUAACUGUUGAAGCUGGUUAUCCAGAGGUUGUUCACACAGGCAAUGUGGCUUCACUUUAUAGUAAGUUUGCUCAUUAAAAAGACAUGUAUAGUACUCAACUGCGGAAAACUCAUAAAAAUGGAGCCUAUCAUCAAAUUCGUGUCGCAUGGCGGGGUUACUCUACUUUUACUCUAUAAAUAGAAAGAUAUCCAUAACAAUGAUGGUAAAGUUUGCCAUACCUUUCUAAUUGCCUAAUUUGACACUAACACUAUUGGCUACACCACGAGCAUCUUGUGCCUCGAUAUUCACAGUCUUGACACUAGAGUUAGUCGGGGCAAUGAACUUUAGGUUCUUUGUUGUGACCUCAAUUAAAAUUGUAAGUUGCUCCUUUAUCCAAAUUCAAUCAAAGCAAGCCCAAGUCCAUGCAAGAAGGCCCUCCAGAUCUGUCCAAAUUCAAAGCCUGUCAAAGGCAUAUGAAAUCUUGCGAAGGAUCCGAGCCCAUCCAAAUGAUGUUUAGGGGCUAAAUCCAAGUAGCUCUGGCUCAUGAUCCAAGAGACCCGAAACUCGUUAAUCAUGCUAUUCUUACCUUCUAACUAACCUUUUCAAUUUCGCUUAUCCUGACAUUGAUUGAUUACACAUAACUGUUGAAGCUGGUUAUGCAGAGGUUGUUCACACAGGCAGUGUGACUUCUCUUUGUAGUUAGUUUGCUCGUUAAAUAGGCAUGUGUAGUACUUAACUGCGGAAAACUCAUAAAAAUGGUGUCUAUCAUCAAAUUCGUGGGGCAUGGUGGGAUUCCUCUACUUCUACUAUAUAAAUAAAAAGAUAUCCAUAACAAUGAUGUUANCUCAAUCAAAAUUGUGACUUGCUCCUUUGUCCAAAUACAAAGCCCGUCAUCAAUGCAAGUCCAAGUCCAUGAAAGAAGGCCCUCCAUAUCUGUCCAAAUUCAAAGUCGGUGAAAGGCAUUUGAAAUCAUGCAAAGGAUCCGAGCCCAUCCAAAUGUUGUUCAGGGGGCUAAACCCAAGUAGCUCUAGCUCAUGAUCCAAGAGACCCGAAACUAGUUAAUCAUGUUAUCCUUACCUUCUAACAAACCUCUUCAAUUUCGCUUAUCCUAACAGUGAUUGAUUAGGCGUAACUGUUGAAGCUGGUUAU